rnacentral:rRNA from 1 species
GACGAACGCUGGCGGCGUGCUUAACACAUGCAAGUCGAGCGGAAAGGCCCUUCGGGGUACUCGAGCGGCGAACGGGUGAGUAACACGUGAGUAACCUGCCCCAGACUUUGGGAUAAACCUCGGAAACGGGGGCUAAUACCGGAUACGACACAGCUUCGCAUGGGGUCUGUGUGGAAAGUUUUUCGGUUUGGGAUGGGCUCGCGGCCUAUCAGCUUGUUGGUGGGGUGAUGGCCUACCAAGGCGACGACGGGUAGCCGGCCUGAGAGGGCGACCGGCCACACUGGGACUGAGACACGGCCCAGACUCCUACGGGAGGCAGCAGUGGGGAAUAUUGCACAAUGGGCGGAAGCCUGAUGCAGCGACGCCGCGUGAGGGAUGACGGCCUUCGGGUUGUAAACCUCUUUCAGCAGGGACGAAGCGUAAGUGACGGUACCUGCAGAAGAAGCGCCGGCCAACUACGUG